rnacentral:antisense_RNA from 1 species
CUUGAUCGAGCCCAGCCACAACGGCCGUUCCGCCGUGCGCUCCUGCCCGUAGGUGGCGAUGAGCGCCUGCGCCUC